rnacentral:piRNA from 1 species
UGGCAGAAAAACUGCUUUCCCAUGGUGCAC